rnacentral:rRNA from 1 species
GAUGAACGCUGGCGACGUGCUUAACACAUGCAAGUCGAACGGGAUCCAAGGGGUGCUUGCACUUUUUGGUGAGAGUGGCGAACGGGUGAGUAACACGUGAGUAACCUGUCCUUUUCUUUGGGAUAAGCAUUCGAAAGGGUGUUUAAUACCUUAUGUUCUGUCUGCCUCGCAUGGGGUGGGUGGGAAAGGCUUUGGCCGGAUUUGGGUGGGCUCGCGGUCUAUCAGCUUGUUGGUGGGGUGAUGGCUUACCAAGGCUUUGACGGGUAGCCGGCCUGAGAGGGUGGUCGGUCACAUUGGGACUGAGAUACGGCCCAGACUCCUGCGGGAGGCAGCAGUGGGGGAUAUUGCACAAUGGGCGAAAGCCUGAUGCAGCGACGCCGCGUGGGGGAUGAAGGCCUUCGGGUUGUAAACUUCUUUUGCUCUGAACAAGGCAUGCCAGUGGGUGUGUUGAGUGUAGGGGUUGAUUAGCGCCGGCUAACUACGUG